AGAAUCAACGCUGGCGGCGUGCCUCAGACAUGCAAGUCGAACGAUUAAAGCUCUCUUCGGAGAGUGUAUAGAGUGGCGCACGGGUGAGUAACACGUAAGUAAUCUACCUUUGAGUGGGGAAUAACGUUCGGAAACGAACGCUAAUACCGCAUAAUGCAGCGGCACCGCAAGGUGACAGUUGUUAAAGGAGCAAUCCGCUUAAAGAGGAGCUUGCGGCAGAUUAGCUAGUUGUAAGGUAAUGGCUUACCAAGGCUACGAUCUGUAACCGGUCUUAGAGGACGGUCGGUCACACUGACACUGAAUAACGGGUCAGACUCCUACGGGAGGCAGCAGUCGGGAAUUUUGGGCAAUGGGCGAAAGCCUGACCCAGCAACGCCGCGUGAAGGAUGAAGUAUUCGGUAUGUAAACUUCGAAAGAAUAGGAAGAAUAAAUGACGGUACUAUUUAUAAGUCCGGACUAACUACGUGCCAGCAGCCGC
rnacentral:rRNA from 1 species